rnacentral:piRNA from 1 species
UCUCAGUAUCUUUGUUGCAUGCAGACUUU